rnacentral:misc_RNA from 1 species
UCACCUCCACCUCCAUACUACUACAAGUCCCCACCUUCACCAUCUCCAUCACCACCCCCACCUUACUAUUACAAGUCCCCACCUCCACCAUCACCAUCCCCACCUCCAUACUACUAUAAGUCUCCACCUCCACCAUCCCCCUCACCACCCCCACCUUCCUAUUACAAGUCUCCACCUUCACCAUCACCAUCCCCUCCGCCCUACUAUAAGUCUCCACCUCCACCAUCACCAUCCCCUCCACCCACAUACUACUAUAAGUCCCCACCUCCACCCUCACCAUCACCACCGCCACCUUACUAUUACAAGUCACCACCACCACCAUCACCAUCUCCUCCACCUCCAUACUAUUACAUGUCCCCACCUCCACCAUCUCCAUCCUCUCCACCACCUUACUAUUACAAGUCCCCUCCUCCACCAUCUCCUUCUCCUCCAUCUCCUUAUUACUACAAGUCUACACCACCUCCUUCUCCAUCGCCACCUCCUCCAGUAUAUCACUACUACUCUCCUCCACCACCUGUUGUUUACUAAGCAAAAGAAAGCUUAAUUUUAAUUCAAGUAAGUAUAAUUUUCUAUAUGCUUCAUCUUGCACUUAUAGUUUUCUCUAUACAUCCUCCGGCCAGUGUCAUCGUGAUGAUGAAGGUUAUUGUUUUGCAU